rnacentral:snRNA from 1 species
GGACCUGUACUCUCCCCCUCACCUACUCCAGAGUCUCUGGCUGACCUGGCUGGCUAGGUGGGUGUCCCCUUCCUCCCUCACCGCUCCAUGUGCGUCCCACCAGAAGCUGCUAGGUCGAAAAGGUCGGCCUUCCCCAAAUAGAGACAGACCAGUCUUCAGUUGAGUAGCUGCACUCCCCUGCUAGAACCUCCAAACAAGCUCUCAAGAAGUCUCUUUUCAACGAACCUUUCCUCUCAGAGGGCCAAUGACUGAGAAUAUAUAGUCAGUUAUUUUUUAGGUUCACCUUUCUCCACUGUA